UUGGAGGGCAAGUCUGGUGCCAGCAGCCGCGGUAAUUCCAGCUCCAAUAGCGUAUAUUUAAGUUGUUGCAGUUAAAAAGCUCGUAGUUGAAUUUCGGGAUUAGUACGUCGGUCGUGCCUUAGGUACGUACUGGUGUUACUGGUUCCUACCUUCUGACGAACCAUCAUGUCAUUAAUUUGGUGUGGUGGGGAAUCAGGACUGUUACUUUGAAAAAAUUAGAGUGUUCAAAGCAGGCUCGCGCUUGAAUACAUUAGCAUGGAAUAAUGAAAUAGGACGUUGAUCCUAUUUUGUUGGUUUCUAGGAUUGACGUAAUGAUUAAUAGGGAUAGUUGGGGGCAUUAGUAUUCAAUUGUCAGAGGUGAAAUUCUUGGAUUUAUUGAAGACUAACUACUGCGAAAGCAUUUGCCAAGGAUGUUUUCAUUAAUCAAGAACGAAAGUUAGGGGAUCGAAGACGAUCAGAUACCGUCGUAGUCUUAACCAUAAACUAUGCCGACUAGGGAUCGGAUGAUGUUAUUUUUAAUGACUCAUUCGGCACCUUACGGGAAAC
rnacentral:rRNA from 1 species